rnacentral:rRNA from 1 species
CUUUCGGGUCGUAAAACUCUGUUGUUAGGGAAGAACAAGUGCUAGUUGAAUAAGCUGGCACCUUGACGGUACCUAACCAGAAAGCCACGGCUAACUACGUGCCAGCAGCCGCGGUAAUACGUAGGUGGCAAGCGUUAUCCGGAAUUAUUGGGCGUAAAGCGCGCGCAGGUGGUUUCUUAAGUCUGAUGUGAAAGCCCACGGCUCAACCGUGGAGGGUCAUUGGAAACUGGGAGACUUGAGUGCAGAAGAGGAAAGUGGAAUUCCAUGUGUAGCGGUGAAAUGCGUAGAGAUAUGGAGGAACACCAGUGGCGAAGGCGACUUUCUGGUCUGUAACUGACACUGAGGCGCGAAAGCGUGGGGAGCAAACAGGAUUAGAUACCCUGGUAGUCCACGCCGUAAACGAUGAGUGCUAAGUGUUAGAGGGUUUCCGCCCUUUAGUGCUGAAGUUAACGCAUUAAGCACUCCGCCUGGGGAGUACGGCCGCAAGGCUGAAACUCAAAGGAAUUGACGGGGGCC